GACGUAGGGCGCGAGCGUUGUCCGGAUUUAUUGGGCGUAAAGAGCUCGUAGGCGGCUUGUUGCGUCAGCUGUGAAAACCCGCAGCUCAACUGUGGGCUUGCAGCUGAUACGGGCAGGCUUGAGUUCGGUAGGGGAGACUGGAAUUCCUGGUGUAGCGGUGAAAUGCGCAGAUAUCAGGAGGAACACCGGUGGCGAAGGCGGGGUCUC
rnacentral:rRNA from 1 species